GUUCCACUCUCGAGGAUGCAAUGCUUUUUGUUGAUAUCAACUGGUUCUUUAUCACACUUUUUCCUUGACCAUUUGUUUGAGAUGAACGGUGGGUCAUCCA